rnacentral:rRNA from 1 species
UACGUAGGGUGCAAGCGUUGUCCGGAAUUAUUGGGCGUAAAGAGCGUGUAGGCGGCUCGAUCAGUCUGCUGUGAAAGCCCAGGGCUCAACCCUGGGAUGCCGGUAGAUACUGUCGAGCUAGAGUCCGGAAGAGGCGAGUGGAAUUCCUGGUGUAGCGGUGAAAUGCGCAGAUAUCAGGAGGAACACCAAUAGCGAAGGCAGCUCGCUGGGACGGUACUGACGCUGAGACGCGAAAGCGUGGGGAGCAAACAGG